GCUCCCUUCGUCUAGUGGCCCAGGACGUCGCCCUCUCACGGCGAAAACAGGGGUUCGAGUCCCCUAGGGAGCG
rfam:Acidithiobacillales bacterium SM1_46 WOR1_30_36_5423, whole genome shotgun sequence.